rnacentral:ncRNA from 1 species
AUUGAAUAAAAUGAUAAAGGUUCUUUAUCUGCAAAGGAUAAAGUGAAAAGGGAAAUCGGUGUAAUUCCGAUGCGGUCCCGCCACUGUAAGUGUGAGUUUUUUCAACCGAUGCCACUGAAAAAUUUUUGGGAAGGCAUGAAAAAGCGUUAGUAGCACGAGCCAGGAGACCUGCCUUUAUAGAGCAACACUA